CGGUUACGAGAUAGGGGUGUUACA
rnacentral:siRNA from 1 species